rnacentral:rRNA from 1 species
AUGCUUUUGGAGCGGCCGAUGUCUGAUUAGCUAGUUGGUGAGGUAAAGGCUCACCAAGGCGACGAUCAGUAGCUGGUCUGAGAGGACGACCAGCCACACUGGGACUGAGACACGGCCCAG